UACAGAGGAGCCAAGCGUUGUCCGGAUUGACUGGGCGUAAAGCGCACGCAGGCGGGUGCGCGCGUGGGGUGUGAAAUCUGGCCGCUUAACGGCCAGGCGCCAUCCCAUACGGCGCGCCUGGAGCCUUGCAGAGGUCGGUGGAAUUGCCGGUGUAGUGGUGAAAUGCGUAGAGAUCGGCAGGAACACCAAUUGCGAAGGCAGCUCGCUGGGACGUCACUGACGCUGAGACGCGAAAGCGUGGGGAGCAAACAGG
rnacentral:rRNA from 1 species